AGGAAAAGAAACUAACAAGGAUUCCCCUAGUAACGGCGAGUGAAGCGGGAAGAGCUCAAAUUUGAAAUCUGGUAGCCUUCGGUUGCCCGAGUUGUAAUCUAGAGAAGUGUUUUCCGUGCCGGCCCAUGUACAAGUCCCUUGGAACAGGGCGUCAUAGAGGGUGAGAAUCCCGUCCUUGACAUGGACCCCCGGUGCUUUGUGAUACACUUUCAACGAGUCGAGUUGUUUGGGAAUGCAGCUCAAAAUGGGUGGUGAAUUCCAUCUAAAGCUAAAUAUUGGCGAGAGACCGAUAGCGAACAAGUACCGUGAGGGAAAGAUGAAAAGCACUUUGGAAAGAGAGUUAAACAGUACGUGAAAUUGUUGAAAGGGAAACGAUUGAAGUCAGUCAUGCUCUUGGGACUUACCUCCCUUGAGUGGGGUCAACAUCAGUUUUGAUCGAUGGAUAAAGGCACGGGGAAGGUAGCACUCUCGGGUGAACUUAUAGCCUCGCGUCAUAUACAUUGAUUGGGACUGAGGAACGCAGCAUGCCUUAUGGCCGGGAUUCGUCCACGUACAUGCUUAGGAUGUUGACAUAAUGGCUUUAAACGACCCGUC
rnacentral:rRNA from 1 species